UGAGAACAGCUGGGAAAUAGGGAUGGACAGGGGGCACUGCAGUAUGGUGUGAUUGACCUGAUAAUUCUUGGCAACUCUGCACAGAUUAAGUUCCAGUUACAUCGUAUCAUUAUGAUCCAAGUACACAUUAAUCCAAGAUUUACUUCUUACCCCAACUGGAAUGAAUCUUGCUUUAGUGAAGAAAUCACUGCAACAUGAUGAUCUGUACCAACUAGAAUGCAUCUGAGAUAAUGGUCAGAAAAAAAACCACCAACACCAAACAAACAAACAAAAAAACCUCUCUGAUUGCUGUUCACCAUGUCCUGGAAAGGGUGAAGAAGGACGGAGAACACCACUGGAGGGAAAUGCUUCUUAGAUGGUCACCAAGAGCAAGAAGAGUUUGGAAUUCUGUGCUUCACCUAGAUGUGAUCUCACUAAUCCUAACACUGCUGUGUUCAUUGCUUGUAGUCAUAUUGUAUGUGAAAGUCUGGCAGAUGCUGAGGUGACUUGCGCAGCUUGAAUUACCCAAGGAGUCUGAAAGUUGUGCUAGGUAUUCAAUUACUUAUACUAGCAUCUUGGUGAUCUGUGGGUAAGGCAAGUUCUAUUACGUGCACUGAUGGCGUUCACAUGUUGUUCCUUGGCUUUUGUGUGAUUUUAAAAUGUAUCUUCCCCUUCUCCCCUCAUUCUCCUUAAAGCUUUCUUUCUUGAUACCAGCAUUGGACAGUGAUAACAAGCUUGGCCCAGACGGGUGGUGUGAGAAGCUGGGACAACAUGUGGCUCAAAGCUUGUUCGGAGGGAGUUAUCUGAGACAUGAGAAGCUGGAGAAUGGUUGGCUCAAAGCAUGUUCAAUGAUAGCCAUCCAAGGCAUGACCUGCCCAACAAGUUUUUGGAGUUAAUGGCUGACUACUGCGAGCACAGUGGUAAGAGGACAGAUGCUCUGUUUCUCCUGAUGAAAAAAAUUGUGGGUCCCUUGACAGCUACCGUUGUCAUGAUGGACAGUACCAGGUGGCCCUGAUUAUUGGGGUAGAUGGGCCUGAAUAAU
rnacentral:lncRNA from 1 species